UACGUAGGUGGCUAGCGUUGUCCGGAUUUACUGGGCGUAAAGAGCGCGCAGGCGGUCGUUCAAGUCGAGUGUGAAAGCCCCCGGCUCAACUGGGGAGGGUCACUCGAUACUGAUCGACUCGAAGGCAGGAGAGGGAAGCGGAAUUCCCGGUGUAGUGGUGAAAUGCGUAGAUAUCGGGAGGAACACCGGUGGCGAAGGCGGCGUUCUGGACUGUAACUGACACUGAUGAACGAAAGCCAGGGGAGCAAACGGG
rnacentral:rRNA from 1 species